rfam:Oryza sativa Japonica Group DNA, chromosome 9, cultivar: Nipponbare, complete sequence.
AAUAAGUACAGUUUUGCACUGUUCAUGUUUAACUUUUGACCGUUCGUCUUAUUUAAAAUUUUUUUAUGAUUAGUAUUUUUGUUGUUAUUAGAUGAUAAAAUAUGAACAGUACUUUAUGUGUCACUAAUUUUUUUCAAAUUUUUCAUAAAUUUUUUAAAUAAGACGAACAGUCGAACGUCUGACAAGGUUCCCCACGACUGCACUUAUU